rnacentral:rRNA from 1 species
GGGUGAGUAACACGUGGAUAACCUACCUAUAAGACUGGGAUAACUUCGGUAAACCGGAGCUAAUACCGGAUAAUAUUUUGAACCGCAUGGUUCAAAAGUGAAAGACGGUCUUGCUGUCACUUAUAGAUGGAUCCGCGCUGCAUUAGCUAGUUGGUAAGGUAACGGCUUACCAAGGCAACGAUGCAUAGCCUAUCUGAGAGGGUGAUCGGCCACACUGGAACUGAGACACGGUCCAG